rnacentral:tRNA from 1 species
GGAGGGCUAGUCCUAACAGGUAAGGCAGCGGACUUGAAAUCCGCCGGGUUUGCGCCCUUGGGGGUUCGAAUCCCUCGCCCUCCGC